rnacentral:rRNA from 1 species
CAAUAGCGUAUAUUAAAGUUGUUGCGGUAAAAAAGCUCGUAGUUGGAUUUCUACCGAAGAUAGCCGGUCGGGUCUUCGACCUUGUAUCUGGUUUUGUCUUUGGUAUCCUCAUAGGGAACGUUUCUGCGCUUUAUUGCGUGGUGCGGUAUCUAUGACUUUUACUUUGAGGAAAUUAGAGUGUUCACGGCAGGCAGACGCCUUGAAUAUAUUAGCAUGGAAUAAUAACAUAGGAUCUUCGUCCUAUUUUGUUGGUUUCUAGGGCUAAGAUAAUGAUUAAUAGGGAUAAUUGGGGGCAUCUGUAUCAACGCGUCAGAGGUGGAAUUCUUGGAUUGCGUUGCGACAAACUACUGCGAAAGCAUUUGCCAAGGAUGUUUUCAUUGA